CUGCUUUUUACCCAAAGACAUCUAAACCCUAACACAAGUUUGCUACCAAACAACUCACUGCAUCCCAGCACGAGUCAUCAAACAUCACAAGAGGAUAUCCCACCUGCCCUUCCUUAUCGACCAAAUAACCUGAGGAACUCUCCAGUCCCGUCUUCAAACAAACUUUACCCAAGUUUGGAAGAAGAAUUUCACCGUGUCACUUCCCCUCUUCCAGCCACGCCUGUGACCAGAAAGAGAUACACCGGCGACAACCCUCCAUCCAACCAGCCUCCGGAGGUUCCUGAUCGGAGCUCUGUCCCUCCACUGAAGCAGAACCAGGCUUGUAUCAGAACAGUCUCUGCACCUGAGAGCCCCCCAACACCUACAGCCACUGGAGACCCCAGCAGCACCAACAUCCAGUCUGUAAAGAACCAGGAAGCAAAGCCGUCAGUCAUUUCCAACCUGAAGAACCUCAAGAAGAAAUUCCAAAAGAAGAGAAGCAUAUCGCAGGAGAAUAUGUACGCAGAGAUAAAUGUGGUGGAGAAUGAAUACCACGAGAUCACAGGGCAGCAGACCUUCAACGCUCCACCAUUUCCCCACACUUGCACUGAGCAGACACUGACUGAUGGAGGGGUACCUGACGAGUACCUUCCACCUCCACCUUUUGCUCCAGGCUACUGAAACACAACCGCUCCCUUAGAAAAAAGAAUGUAAAGAUGGAUCAAACCCUAAGUGGAGAAUAAAUGAGCAGUAGUCCGCACAUUCAUUAUUGACAAAGUUACAAAGGUUUGAUAGUGCAUCGUUUCACCCUUCUAACCGCUGUCCUCAUGUGAAUGUAAUUAGUGCCAGUGACUUCUGAGUGCUUCAUCUUUUAUUUAUUUAUUUGCUAUUCAACAGAGACAAUACAGAUAAACACUGUUACAUAAGGAGAAGUAAUGCAACAAAUGUACUCUAUAUAGUGUAUGCAUCUCGCUGAAGCUAAUUACAAGCCUUUUCCCUGGCCCAUGUAGUGAAUGAAUAGGCAGCAGGAGGAAGUCUGAUGCAGUGUAUGUAAAUGAGAAAUGGCAUGGUUUAUGUCAGCUGCUUUGAAUACAGUAGACAUACUGUAGCAUCAGAUGCGGGUCUGUUAUCAGCAACAUGAUAAGGAAGAUGGAUGCAGAUGCUGGUCAAACUCGUUUCACAGGUAGAAAUUUACAGGUGAGACAAAAUUGACCUUUACAUGGCGUCUGGACAUGGAAGGACUAAAACACAUUUCAUUUUUACUGCAAAUGGCGUGGUCAGACCCUUGUUAUUAUUAUUAUUAUUAUUAUUAUUAUUAUUAUGAAGCAUCUGUGUGAUCUCAAGAAUAUUUCACAUUUAUAUCUGUAACCAAGUAAUAUAUCUGUACAAAGCAUCAAAUAUUGUUACAUGACUUAGCUAAUAAAUCACCUUUGAC
rnacentral:lncRNA from 1 species